rnacentral:rRNA from 1 species
CCUACGGGUGGCAGCAGUGAGGAAUAUUGGACAAUGGACGAAAGUCUGAACCAGCAAAGUAGCGUGAAGGAUGACUGCCCUAUGGUUUGUAAACUUCGUUUAUAUGGGAAUAAAAUGGUCAACGUGAGGGAUUAUGUAUGUACCAUAUGAAAAAGGAUCAGCUAACUCCGUGCCAGCAGCAGCGGUAAUACGGAGGAUCCGAGCGUUAUCCGGAUUUAGUGGGUUUAAAGGGAGCGUAGGUGGAUUGUUAAGUUAGUUGUGAAAGUUUGCGGCUCAACCGUAAAAUUGCAGUUGAAUCUGGCAGACUUGAGUACAGUAGAGGUGGGCGGAAGUCGUGGUGUAGCGGUGAAAUGCUUAGAUAUCUCGAAGAACUCCGAUUGCGAAGGCAGCUCACUGGACUGCAACUGACACUGAGGUUCGAAAGUGUGGGUAUCAAACAGGAUUAGAUACCCUUGUAGUC